UACGUAGGGAGCAAGCGUUGUCCGGAUUUACUGGGUGUAAAGGGCGUGUAGGCGGAGACGCAAGUCAGGAGUGAAAUCCCCGGGCUCAACCCGGGAACUGCUUUUGAAACUGCGUCCCUUGAGUAUCGGAGAGGCAGGCGGAAUUCCUAGUGUAGCGGUGAAAUGCGUAGAUAUUAGGAGGAACACCAGUGGCGUAGGCGGCCUGCUGGACGACAACUGACGCUGAGGCGCGAAAGCGUGGGGAGCAAACAGG
rnacentral:rRNA from 1 species